GACAGAGGAAUCGCAAGCAGUGGAUGGGCAACAGGACCAUGGCUGUCAACAGUGUCGUGCUUUUGGCGCUGCUGAUUUGACUUGCAAAUGUCGCUGGGUAAGGUGGCAGCAAGGUGUUGCCGUGCUACACGUGAUGGUGACCAUCACGAACUGCAAUCUUGGCACCGGCCUAUAUUGCAUCAUCACAAGGACUGAAGCAACUGAGGAUCUCGAUUGGUCCUAGAUUCACAACGCAUUUCUGGUACUCCACUCUCGUUGUACCGUGGGUGCAUAGACGACUGCGAUCCUAAGAUAGGCAAGAUGGAACCAAAUUCCACUGACACUGUCGCCGCCUUCUGCGACGACCCUCGCUGCAACGGGCCUAGCAACGUCACUCCAGGGUCCAUACUUUCAAAACUCGCUAAG